rnacentral:rRNA from 1 species
GUAGGUGGCAAGCGUUGUCCGGAAUUAUUGGGCGUAAAGCGCGCGCAGGCGGGUUCUUUAAGUCUGAUGUGAAAGCCCACGGGCUCAACCGUGGAGGGUCAUUGGAAACUGGAGAACUUGAGUACAGAAGAGGAAAGUGGAAUUCCACGUGUAGCGGUGAAAUGCGUAGAGAUGUGGAGGAACACCAGUGGCGAAGGCGGCUUUCUGGUCUGUAACUGACGCUGAGGCGCGAAAGCGUGGGGAGCAAACAGGAUUAGAUACCCUGGUAGUCCACGCCGUAAACGAUGAGUGCUAAGUGUUAGGGGGUUUCCGCCCCUUAGUGCUGCAGCUAACGCAUUAAGCACUCCGCCUGGGGAGUACGGCCGCAAGGCUG